CCUGUUUUUUUGAAAUAGAAAGAAGUGCUGGUUUUUUAGACAAGGAACUUGCUGCUAGUGGCUUUAAUAAAAAGGAUAAAGAAGAUAUUCAGAGGUUCAUUGAAGGUGGAGCAGAGGCUGAAACAAACUCAGAUAGUGAAGGUGACUCAGUGGAAGACCUGAAUGAAUCAAUCCUUCUUCAGGAUGAAGAACAUGAAAACAAAGGAAAAGAUGAGAGCUGUGAAGCUGCUGAAAGCGGUGCAUCUGAAAGGGAAUAUGCAACUGACAAGG